rnacentral:lncRNA from 1 species
UGGACUUUAUCCUCAAGCUAGAUGUGCUUACCAAACAUCACACAAAUAAAUCAAUGUGAAUUUACAAACCAUUAUUCAGCAUUUAACGAACUUAAAAGAAAUUCAAAAAAAAUUCCAGAAUCAAUCUCGACUUCCCUUCGAACCUUCCUCAUCCUCAAAGAGCUUAACAUAGUCACAAAAAGAGAAGCAUUUAAACCGAGAUCUAAAACUAUGCAGGGGCAGAUUUUAUCAUGAUUGCUGGAAAAUAACCUCAAUAACUCAUAAUUAACAUGUAUUUAACAACCAUGACUAUGGAACCAAAACUAAACACUUCAGUCAGUACACUGCAACUCACAGUCCAUAUUUAAUGCUCUUUACAGAGUCCAUGACAAUCUCUAUUCAACUGCAUCCUCAUAAGUUCAAGUCUAAACUUAACAAAACAGAAUGAAAGGCACACAAAGCUAUACUAAAACAAAACAAGAACCAGAUUUAAACUAAACAGAUAGUAGAAAAACCAGUAUUGAUUAUUGCUCCAAUUUGAAUUACAGAAGUUCAUAGUUGCACUUCACAUGAUGACAGAUCCAAAGCGUACCUGAAAAUUGAAAUAUAAACCAAAGGGUGAGGAAUCAACAGUAGUAUUGGCAGAAAUCAGCACCAGCAACACUCAGUAAACCAAUUUCAAACCCCAGAAAAUGAUGUGCAACAAUCCAGAAAUCAGUUUCGAUCGAACAGUGACCCAAACUUCAAACCAAACUUCUACAACCCAAGUUCAAUCCAUUCUAUCCCCAAAUGAGAAACCAUUAUUUUCAGAAAUUGAAAAAAAUCAGAAAUCACUGAGGCAACUCAAUGAAACAGUAAAAACCAGCCAUUUUUAUUUUUCUCAAUUUUUUAUCUCUGAAUCUCUGCCUUGAAUGCCAAGUUAGACCUAACGGCUAAGCCAGGCCUGGACUCAAAACUUAAUUCAAGUCCCUUGGAGUGAAUUCUGAAAUGGAUUCAAAGCUCAAACGGCAUAAUGACUCAAACCCAGAUUUAGCAAAUUAUGGCAAAUGGUAAAGAAACAACUGAAUAGUUUUCAUAAAAUUUAAAACCUGAGCUAAAAUACUAGUUAAUGCAAAAUUAAACUAAAUUAUCACUUCAACCUAAUUAGGUUAAACUAAAUGGAUAAAUAAAGAAGAUGAACAAAGAAUUUAUCAAGCAAGACCAAACGAAAAUCAAGGGAUAAACCUGGAAAAGAACAAACUGAAAAAGAACAGACAAAAUAAGGUUUAUCUUGGCCAGAAAUUUUGGUCGAUUUUCAAUUGAAUUAUCCGGAGAAAAGAAGAAGAGAAGAAGAAAAAUAGAAGAACGAACCAAAGAAAAGAAAGAAACUCACUGACUCGGCUCGCACUCAUGACUGCCUCUCCGAUUAAAGCCCCAAUAUAGUAUCAAUCGCCUGUUCUUUGUCAAGAACAUGCGACUAAUGUUAUUCUGUGGUAAAAUCGGCACCCUAACACUCGUGAAUACUGGAGAAGUGGACUUGCAUGAAUGAACUUGACUUUGGCUUCUAGGGUUCGAACCCUAGAUUUAAUAUUUGAGGAGUUCUAAGCAUAUUCGAAUGCAGAGUGAGGAUUUGGGAAGAGGGGAGUGAGGGGGUUCUCUGGUGUUAGUUUGGGGUCGGUUUGUGGUGGUGCCGCCACCGGUGGCGGUGGGAAAUAAUGGCGUCGCUUAGGGUUUGGUUGAGAUAAUCUCUGAGGAGAGGGGGGUAUAAGAGAGACGAGUGAGUGAGGGGGCAGCG